rnacentral:lncRNA from 1 species
CACAAUCUUAGCUGGAGCUAUGCGAAGAAGAUUGCCAGGCUUACCAGGAAGAGCACCUUUGAUCAUAACAACAUUGAGGUCCUUAUCAAUCUUCACAAUCUUGAGCUUCCUGAUCUUGGUCUUGGUCCCUCCCAUUCUUCCAGGCAUCUUCUUCCCCUUGUAAACCCGCCCUGGCGUCGUUCCGGCCCCAAUUGACCCAAGAGCUCUGUGACUUUUGGACCCAUGAGUCAUUUGCCCUCUCUUGAAAUUGUGCCUCUUAAUCCCACCCUGAAACCCUUUCCCGAUUGUGGUUCCAGAGACAUCAACAAUGUCUCCUUCGUUGAAGAGCUCGUCGAACGAAAGCUUCUGGUUUGGCUCGAACCCAUCAACGCUCUGG